AACGGCGAGUGAAGCGGCAACAGCUCAAAUUUGAAAUCUGGCCUCCUUCGGUGGUCCGAGUUGUAAUUUGCAGAGGGUGCUUUGGCGUUGGCGGCGGUCUAAGUUCCUUGGAACAGGACGUCACAGAGGGUGAGAAUCCCGUACGUGGUCGCCCGUCUUCGCCGUGUAAAGCCCCUUCGACGAGUCGAGUUGUUUGGGAAUGCAGCUCUAAAUGGGAGGUAAAUUUCUUCUAAAGCUAAAUACUGGCCAGAGACCGAUAGCGCACAAGUAGAGUGAUCGAAAGAUGAAAAGCACUUUGGAAAGAGAGUCAAAAAGCACGUGAAAUUGUUGAAAGGGAAGCGCUUGCAGCCAGACUUGCCCGUAGUUGCUCACCCGGACUUUUUGCCCGGGGCACUCUUCUGCGGGCAGGCCAGCAUCAGUUUGGGCGACCGGAUAACGGCCUCUGUCACGUAUCAUCCUUCGGGAUGACCUUAUAGGGGAGGCGUAAUGCGGCCAGCCUGGACUGAGGUCCGCGCAUCUGCUAGGAUGCUGGCGUAAUGGCUGUAAGCGGCCCGUCUUGAAACACGGACCAAGGAGUCUAACAUCUAUGCGAGUGUUUGGGUGUCAAGCCCGGGCGCGCAAUGAAAGUGAACGGAGGUGGGAACCCUCUCGGGGGUGCACCAUCGACCGAUCCUGAUGUUCUCGGAUGGAUUUGAGUAAGAGCAUAGCUGUUGGGACCCGAAAGAUGGUGAACUAUGCUUGAAUAGGGUGAAGCCAGAGGAAACUCUGGUGGAGGCUCGCAGCGGUUCUGACGUGCAAAUCGAUCGUCAAAUUUGGGCAUAGGGGCGAAAGACUAAUCGAACUA
rnacentral:rRNA from 1 species